rnacentral:rRNA from 1 species
AUUGCGCUGCUUCUAAUCGUCCUCUUAGGACAAUUAUUGACCAU